ACUAAUAAAUCAUUUAGAUGGUGAACUGUAAAUUCACAUUAGAUACCUCCUUUAACUU
rnacentral:tRNA from 1 species